UUGACCAAAGUAAGAUUAUCUGACUCCAACACUAGAUUCUCCUUUUCUCUCUCACGCUGGAGCAGAAAUUUUAGGGUUUGUAACAAAGCAUGUGUUUCCACUUGUAGGGAGGAAGCCGCACGGACAAAAGAAGAGAAUCCAUCAACAAGCCUUCCCUGGUGAUCACGACACACGCAAGCUACUACUCCUUCUUCCCUUCCCGGUGUGUAGGCUCCAUCAAUAUUUAUUUUAAGAUUCCCGAGCGUCGGUGGACACCAAAUCUGGGAUGAGCUGGUUGGGUUUUGGAGGGUUUUCGCGUUGUGCAGGCCCCAAGUGCUAAUGAUUCUCGAACUUGCGAGAGCGGUUUCCACAGUAAAAGCCGGAUCUGGGCAUUGUUUUCUGAAUACGAAAUGGUUCCGCGCCUUCCAUAUCUGCCAAAGGACCGAGGCUAUGACUUCCAGAUCAGGAAAAGGUGUUCGAUUGUCUCUGGGACUUCUUCAUUGCACAGUGUGCAAAACGGAUCUGAGCGAGGCCAAGCGAGCAUUUCCUUCCUCAGUUUCUUCCAUGGUGACUAGAAGAGAGAUGCUUUAGUAACAGGAACCCUAGGGGAAGAAAUUGCGUAUUGCUGCAUAUAAAAAUCAGAUUAACGAGAGUGGGAAAGAGGCCUCUGGACCCGAUGGAGCAUUGAAGGGAAAUCAGAUUUCAUGGGUAGGGUUUAUGAAAAGGUGACUGCAAAUUUAGGGAUUAAUGCCAAAUUGCAAACAGAAAACGAAACUCUAGGUGGUGAGUAAUUCUAGACUAAAAUAUUCUGGGGAAAAGGUCGAGAUUGCAAUGGAUAAUGGACAGUUUUUGUGGAAGUGGUGAUCUAUUUGGGAUGGAAAUGUUGAAAAUCGUGCUUGCUUCA